rnacentral:rRNA from 1 species
UACGUAGGGUGCAAGCGUUAAUCGGAAUUACUGGGCGUAAAGCGUGCGCAGGCGGUGAUGUAAGACAGGUGUGAAAUCCCCGGGCUUAACCUGGGAACUGCAUUUGUGACUGCAUCGCUGGAGUGCGGCAGAGGGGGAUGGAAUUCCGCGUGUAGCAGUGAAAUGCGUAGAUAUGCGGAGGAACACCGAUGGCGAAGGCAAUCCCCUGGGCCUGCACUGACGCUCAUGCACGAAAGCUAGGGGAGCAAACAGG